rnacentral:rRNA from 1 species
GACGAACGCUGGCGGCGUGCUUAACACAUGCAAGUCGAACGGAAAGGCCCUGCUUGCAGGGUGCUCGAGUGGCGAACGGGUGAGUAACACGUGGGUGAUCUGCCCCUUACUUUGGGAUAAGCCUGGGAAACUGGGUCUAAUACUGGAUAGGACCAUGCUGGAGGUGGUGUGGUGGAAAGAUUAUUUUCGGUAAGGGAUGAGCUCGCGGCCUAUCAGCUUGUUGGUGGGGUAGUGGCCUACCAAGGCGUCUACGGGUAGCCGGCCUGAGAGGGUGGACGGCCACAUUGGGACUGAGAGACGGCCCAGACUCCUACGGGAGGCAGCAGUGGGGAAUAUUGCAAAAUGGGCGCAAGCCUGAUGCAGCGACGCCGCGUGGGGGAUGACGGUCUUCGGGUUGUAAACUCCUUUCAGCCAUGACGAAGCCCUUGUGGUGACGGUAGUGGUAGAAGAAGCACCGGCUAACUACGUG